UUCAAGUAAUGGGGCUUCCAGUGGGGACAUAUGGUUAUUUUAUCCAGUUCGCAUGUUUCUUUCACUUUGCCUAUAAAUUGGCUGGUCACAAAAAUUGGGUCUGCAGACCAGAGGUCUAGCUGAAGUUCACAGAAAGCGAUGAGGAGCGAAAGAGCACAGAGUAUUCGCGUGCCUUCCCAAAUUUCCCUGCUGCGAUUCCCCACACAGCGCCCUCCUUCUCAAUUCUGACCUGCCCCAGAAAGACUUCUUGGCUCCGAUGACUGCAAACCCUGCUCUGUUUUAUUAGUCAUCAUCCAUUCCAUCUCCCCGCAUAGAUUGGAAACUCUCCGAGCUAAACUGGGAGCCUUUGGCAAAGAGGCCGCAUCUAGCCCCCAGCUCCGUUUCAUCUCACUCGAAGGACAGGUUCCCAAUGUCCCGUGUCUCACUUGCACCUGUGGUUGCGCAAAACACCGCGCCUUUCAGUGUCUUUCAUAGCAAGAUCCAAACAAGGGCCAUAAAAGGAUGGUUUUACUCUUUGGGCAUCUUCUCUCGGUUUUUUCUUCGGACGGUAUUUCUCCCUUUUUGUGUGUGCGAGUCUGGAGGUGUGUUGCUCUGUGUGGCUAUGAAUCGUUCCUUUCCAUGAGUUCUAACCUGUUUCCUCUUUAUCUCCCCCCCCACACGUCAUCUCCACACCCCACCACCAUCCGUUGCCUUCUCUCCUGUAGCCGAUUAUAAGAAGUUCAGAGCAUUCUUUGAAUUUUUCUUGUUGUACUUAUUAAAGACUUUGUAAUGCUUUUUAUAUUAAAAGCAGGGAAAUGGAAUUUUUAUUUUAUUAAAAAAAUGUAAAUCAAGAGUUUCUUUAAUUCUUUUUUUUUUUUUUUCCAUUUUAGAUUAGUGGGCCUGAAUGAAAAUAAAGUAGGGACAUUUCUCACCACUACCCUAGAGAGUAAAGAAUUCUGUCUUCUGAAUCACAUACCUCCCCGCAGCAUCUUGGACAGAAAUAGGUAUACAAUAUGGAUUUAGUAAAUACUAUUUGGCCAACUGGUUUCUGAAUUUCUGACAGUGUCAGAAGGAAAUUACUCGCUCUGCUUUUAACAGUUUAUAUCAUACUGACCUUUUGUUUCCUUCUAGAAUAAGUGAAAA